UUCAGUUCAAUCAGAUUGCUUUGGGAAGUCAUUGCUGGCCAAUCAGUUCGUGGAGCUGUUUUGGACAUUAUCCAGAUGUUAAUAGAUCUCCCAGAAGUGACAGAGUUUGAAAACUACUCAUUUCAUCUAAGUUUAUGGUACAUUUUCAGGGCCUUCCUGACAACUCCUAUCUCAUGAUUAUGUUGUGUGGACGUAAAAUUGUCUCUGAAUUAAUGACAAAUGCAUCAUGGCCUUUAUGCAGUACGCUGUUUGAAAUGAUUAAAC